UACGUAGGGGGCUAGCGUUGUCCGGAAUCAUUGGGCGUAAAGCGCGUGUAGGCGGCUCGGCAAGUCUGCUGUGAAAGUCCAGGGCUCAACCCUGGGAUGCCGGUGGAUACUGUCGAGCUCGAGUCCGGAAGAGGCGAGUGGAAUUCCUGGUGUAGCGGUGAAAUGCGCAGAUAUCAGGAGGAACACCAAUGGCGAAGGCAGCUCGCUGGGACGUGACUGACGCUGAGACGCGAAAGCGUGGGGAGCAAACAGG
rnacentral:rRNA from 1 species